rnacentral:lncRNA from 1 species
CGGGCGCUACGAACGACAUCGUAUGAGUAGGGUAGUGUGCAAGAUAUGUGACUCCUAUGAACCCUAAUCCAGAGAGUUACUAACGGGAACAAUAUAAAAGGGAGCAACUGAUCUGGCUUGUUGCUACGUUUAUGGCCCCCACAAUCCUUAUAAGUUCUCAACCUGUCAAAUUGGACGUAGACUGGGAGGUAAACUUUGCACCUUGAAGCUUGAACCUUUGUUUGGACAACAGCUCGCUCAAAACUAGUAGAGCUGGACCAGGAGGAUACCAUUGGACUGUUAAUGAUGUCCGAGACUUGUGACGGGUUCAGGUCAUGGGAUCUAAGGACUGCUGAGAUGCAGCUGCAGAUCUAAUCCACAAGGUGACAAGGAGAUGGAAGUUCAAGCAGUGAAUCUGGAAGGACGACAGCUGUCUGCUAGUUCUUCACAAAACAGAAAACAAUGUAUUUAUUACGCAAUGCUUUCAGAGCCUCCUGUAUUCAUAUCAUGGAUGGUCCUGAUGUCCCUGUGAUUCUAAAGCAAUGAGAAGAAAGGCCACCAUCUGAAAAUGAAAC